AACGCACCUUGCACCCUUUGGUAUUCCGAAGGGUACACCCGUUUGAGUGUCAUUGUAAUCUCACUACAAUCCUCUUUGGUUGUAUGUGGAUCUGGAUGCUGCCGUGUGCUACAAACGGCUCAUCUGAAAUGCCUGAGUGUACCCUGCUUUGCAGUGUAUUCGGUGUGAUACAUCUUCACCGGAGUUUGACCUUUCGGGGUCACGUCUGCUUACUUAUGGGUCUAUGCUUCCAACUGUCUUUGACCAGACAAUGCCUGACAAUUUGACCUCAAAUCGGGUGGGACUACCCGCUGAACUUAA
rnacentral:misc_RNA from 1 species